UUCUUUUUCUUUUCCUUUUGAUACGAUAACUGGAAAGGCAUUAACAGCUAAAGGCCCCCUCUGCUCUCCCGUGCGCAACGCGUACGGACGCGUGGCAGGAUGCUGAGGUUAACACAUCGUAUUGUUACAGUACAGUCGACCAGUCCCAAGCAAGACGAGCAGUUGCCGAAACUCGAGGGACCCCGAGGGCUACAGGGACACCAUCGGGGGUGCGAGGGGGGCAGCAGAAGAGGGACAGGCAGGCGAACGGAGCAGCAGGAUUAUUACUUUCAUUUAUACCCCCCAUCACCCUCCCAAUGAACAUGGCAAAGCAACAAAGCCUCCUCCAAACACGCCUUCUACCUCCAUGCCAGAGCUCUGUACCUGCAUCCCAAAGACAGGCUGACCUCGCAAGGAGCCCUGGGCUGCAGCAGCCUGGGACCUCCUGAGCAGAGGGGUGAGAUGGGGAGUGCUGCCCGUGCCCUGCAUCCCCCGGCCUGCCCAAGCACAGCCAGGGCUCCCUGCGGCCGUGCCGGCGGCACCAGCACCACGCAGCCCGUGUGAGCUGCGGGAUGGAGCAGCGCUCACAGUGCCCGACCACUAGAAUGAAACGCAGCACAAAAUAGGGUCAUGGUCAAGCAUCCAAGCUAAAAGCAAGGCCAAACGCAGGAGGGUGACAGCUUCCUCCAAAGCACGGCCCCUCUCUGGGCAGCCAUCCCUUUGUCCUGUGGUGGUAUGAGCCACAUGCGAUUCCCUCUGCAUGCAGCUCCGCAGCACGAGGUCCAGUGUCUCCGCAGACCUGUCCCCUGUGCACGCCACAGGGGAAAGCCUCGCUGCGGUCAGCCCUGGCACUGACCACGCGCUGCACAGCGGCUUUGCCAUGGCCACCAGCAGCACAGGGGUGCAGGAUGCUGCCCGUAAGCAGAGCACCGUGGAGCUGUGACCGGUGGGCACUGCGCCCUGGUGCGGAGCAGAAGUGACCUGUGCUCCCUCAGCCCGGAGGCAGAGCUGGGAGCAAGCCACAGCUGCCUCAGGCUGCCGCAUCCAUCUUUCCCUGGCUGUGCUGCUGUCUGACAGUGAAACAAGGCACACGCUCCACACAGCUGGAGGGCGGUGGGACCGCUGGGAUGGAUGUUCUGAUCCACCUUCCCCUGGGAAACAGGGGAGAGGAUUCACACAGAGCCCUCAGCCACACUGAUGCGACAAAGCACUGACUCAGCAGAGCGGGGGAAACCUCUCCCAUGACAAGACCAGAGCCUCAGCCUCAGAAAGUAAAGAAUAAUUUAAAAUCAAUUCAGAUUUGGGGAAAUCCUCUGGGAAAUUUCUUAUCUCUUCUACCACCCAAGCAAUUCCACAGUCUGCUCCACAAGCAACGACUCCACAGCAGCAGCUCGUUCCUCCUCACUUCCUAUUUCAUUUGUGGCUAAAACGCAGACAGUUGGCUUUGAAAGAGAACACGCGCCGACAAGGAACACAGGGACACGGCAGCAAGGACCACGCUCGGCACAUCCAGACCCGCUUCCACUUGCCAACAACCAGCAACGCAUCUCCAGUGUCCUUGAUCAACCCCUAUCUCUGAGGCUUCUCCCUCCCAGAUUGGGUUAAAUCCGGCUGCAUCCGUAACCUCAGAGACCUGACUCCAGCUCACGAGAGAGGGGAAAUCCAGGGAUAACAGUCAUGGCCACAGCCCUGUACAAGCGUUACUUGCCUGUCUUGCCCAGUCACCACCCUGCACUCCCAGAGCACUGCUGCUGUAACGGAGCAAGCCCGGACAGGCUGGUGUGCCAAAAUGGGGCCUGCGAGUGGUACCAAGCUGCACGAUUGGGUAACGCAAGUAGCUGCAUCUGAGUGGCCCAUUGCAGCAGUGCCCGCUCCACACUGUACACAGGAGCGUGCUUCGCAGCUCAGAGUGCCAGAGCCCCAGCCAAGCCAGCUGCAAAGCAGGUAUCCCAACCCAGGAGAUGGAGCAGAGCAGCAGCAAGGCAAGCGGCUGUGGCUGCUUCCCACCCUUAUGGUGGGAGCACGACUUUCCAGCGCUGCUUCUGAGCCCCAGGAGAAGAUCUCGCACCCUGACACAAGCUCCCUGUGAGGGAACACAGCUCAUGAGCCUGGCGAGGGUUUGCCUGACAAACCCAGCCGGUGCUGGGUAGAGCAACCAAGUAAAUGCCCCAGCAGCUCCGCAGCCAUGCCCUUGCCUCAGCCGAGCAAGGAGCAGCACGGUGUUAUCGCAGCCC
rnacentral:lncRNA from 1 species